AGAACUCCCCUCUUUUGAACUGUCACGCCCCUUUCACUAUGAGUCUCAUUUUCGUUUGCAGCCAUAGUUUCCAUCAACUCAUAUGCUUCUUCAUCAGUCUUCAUCUUAAUAUUUCCUCCAGCUGAGGCAUCAACAUAAGCUUGGACUGAGUCCCAUGACCUCCUAGGAACGUGAGAACCAAUGUUAUUCUAUCAAAACCAUGUAC
rnacentral:lncRNA from 1 species